CACUAAGAAGCUAAAUCGGGAAUAGCGUUAGCCUUUUAAGCUAAAGAUUGGUGGCCCCCACCACCCCUAGUGA
rnacentral:tRNA from 1 species